rnacentral:rRNA from 1 species
UAACGCGUGAGGAACCUGCCUUGAAGAGGGGGACAACAGUUGGAAACGACUGCUAAUACCGCAUGAAGCAUAGGGGGUCGCAUGAUUCUUAUGCCAAAGAUUUAUCGCUUCAAGAUGGCCUCGCGUCUGAUUAGCUAGUUGGCGGGGUAACGGCCCACCAAGGCGACGAUCAGUAGCCGGACUGAGAGGUUGACCGGCCACAUUGGGACUGAGAUACGGCCCAG